rnacentral:rRNA from 1 species
AAUCAACGCUGGCGGCGUGCCUCAGACAUGCAAGUCGAACGCGAAAGUUUCCUUCGGGGAACAAGUAGAGUGGCGCACGGGUGAGUAACACGUAGGUAAUCUACCUUUGGAUGGGGAAUAACAACCGGAAACGGUUGCUAAUACCGCAUAAUGCAGCGGCACCUAAUGGUGACAGUUGUUAAAGCGGGGGAGUCGAAAGACCUCGCGUCUGAAGAGGAGCCUGCGGCGGA